rnacentral:rRNA from 1 species
GACGAACGCUGGCGGCGUGCUUAACACAUGCAAGUCGAACGCUGAAGCUCAGCUUGCUGGGUGGAUGAGUGGCGAACGGGUGAGUAACACGUGAGUAACCUGCCCUCUUCUUUGGGAUAACGCCCGGAAACGGGUGCUAAUACUGGAUAUUCACUGAUUCUCGCAUGGGGGUUGGUGGAAAGGUUUUUUCUGGUGGGGGAUGGGCUCGCGGCCUAUCAGCUUGUUGGUGGGGUGAUGGCCUACCAAGGCUUUGACGGGUAGCCGGCCUGAGAGGGUGACCGGUCACAUUGGGACUGAGAUACGGCCCAGACUCCUACGGGAGGCAGCAGUGGGGAAUAGUGCACAAUGGGCGAAAGCCUGAUGCAGCGACGCCGCGUGAGGGAUGGAGGCCUUCGGGUUGGAAACCUCUUUCGCUCAUGGUCAAGCCGCAGCGUUGGGUUGUGGUGAGGGUAGUGGGUAAAGAAGCGCCGGCUAACUACGUG